AUUGAACGCUGGCGGCAUGCCUUACACAUGCAAGUCGAACGGCAGCACGGGAGCAAUCCUGGUGGCGAGUGGCGAACGGGUGAGUAAUAUAUCGGAACGUGCCCAGUAGUGGGGGAUAGCCCGGCGAAAGCCGGAUUAAUACCGCAUACGACCUGAGGGUGAAAGCGGGGGAUCGCAAGACCUCGCGCUAUUGGAGCGGCCGAUAUCAGAUUAGCUUGUGGUUGGGGUAAAAGCCUACCAAGGCGACGAUCUGUAGCUGGUCUGAGAGGACGACCAGCCACACUGGGACUGAGACACGCCCCAGACUCCUCCGGGAGGCAGCAGUGGGGAAUUUUGGAGAAUGGGCGCAAGCCUGAUCCAGCCAUGCCGCAUGCGGCAAGAAGGCAUUCGUGUUGUAAACCGCUUUUGUCAGGGAAGAAACGGCUCUUGAUAAUACCGAGAGCUAAUGACGGUACCUGAAGAAUAAGCACCGGCUAACUACGUGCCAGCAGCCGCGGUAA
rnacentral:rRNA from 1 species